rnacentral:tRNA from 1 species
GCGGGUGUAAUUCAGUGGUAGAAUGCUGGCUUCCCAAGCCAGAUGUCGCGGGUUCGAAUCCCGUCGCCCGCU